AAAUAAUUGCCGUACUUUUAUUUACCCUUGAAUCAAUCAAUUGCCUGCAGUUACAGUACAAAACUUGCACAUUAUUUACAAGUAUAAGAUUACAUCAUAGAAGCUGACAUUAUAUACCAGGUAACUACAAGACUGUUGUUGUAUCAGAUACGUGGAUAGUCUGAUCUGACUGAUUUAUAACUACCGGGUUUCCUGAAGCAUCCAGAUCAACUAUUGCAGUAUCACCAGGCUUAAAUCCUCCCGCAAGUAAGGCUUCGCUUAUGGGAUUUUCAAUUAUUUGAGUAACUGCUCUCCUAAGAGGUCGAGCUCCAUAAAUCUUGUCAUAGCCUUGUUGGCAUACAAGGUCCUUGAUAGACUCAGACACCUCCAAGCCAAUCCCAAGUGAUAUUAGCCUUUCUUUCACCUCUUGCAGCAUCAGAUUUAAAAUCUUGAGCAUCUGAAAAUAAAAAUAAAAAGUUGAUGUGAAGUCUAUGUGAAAUGACUCUGCUUACAUAUGAUAUUAGGUUUCAUGCUACUCGCUUUUAUAAGAAUACCCACGAGUCCUAGAACUCAAAUUUUUAAGUUCAAACAAGUAAAUGGUAAUACUUCUGAUCAUCCAAGACUACCUAUCAAAGUAGAGGGAAAAAAUUAUAGACAGUGAUCCUGGAGACAAUGGAUAAAGAUUGCAGACUUCCACUCAUAAAUGUCACUGGUGUUAAACAAGGAAUAUUUACAAACCUGAGCCUUCUCAAGGGGAUGGAAUACCACUACUUCAUCUAUCCUGUUGAGUAACUCUGGGCGAAAAUACGCCUUGAGUUCUUCCAUUACCAAUGCUUUUAUUCCAGCAUAUGAAGUUGACUCAUCAUCUGCAAUCAAGAAACCGAUAGAGGUGCGUCCCCCCUUUGCAAUGGCAGUAGAGCCCACAUUUGAGGUCAUUACAACCAACGCAUUUUUAAAUGAUACUCUCCGUCCCUGAGAAUCUGUAAGGUGGCCAUCUUCAAACAACUGAAGGAGCAUAUUGAAUACAUCAGGAUGAGCUUUCUCUAUUUCAUCAAGUAAAACCAGCGUGAAAGGUUGUCUUCUAAUAGCUUCUGUAAGAGUGCCUCCUUCACCAUAACCAACAUAACCUGGGGGUGAUCCUAUUAAUUUGCUCACGGUGUGUCGUUCCAUAUAUUCACUCAUGUCCAGUCUCAGCAUUGCAGACUCCGAACCAAAAUAGCAUGCUGCCAAAGCUUUUGCUAGUUCAGUCUUGCCAACCCCAGUUGGGCCACAAAACAUCAUUGCUGCUAUGGGCCUGUCAGGAUCUUUCAAGCCAACUCGAGACCUUUUAACUGCUCUAGAUAUUGCAGCAACAGCCUCAUCUUGACCAAUGACCCGUUUUCUGAGCUGAUCAUCUAGACUUACCAAAAACAUUCUUUCAUCAGCAGUGAGCUGCUGAACUGGGAUUCCUGACCAAAGUGAAGCCACUGCAGCUAUAUCAUCUGGGCCCACCACUAUUGGCUCAUCAUCAUCAUCUGAUGUAACAGGUACAUGGGCCUCCAAAAUGAUUUCACCAGAGUCCUUUGUGUUGGAAGUACUGCCAUCAUUUUUUACCUUACUUGCCAGAACCACUUCAUGCAUGGCCUGAACAGUUCUAAUUUCUUGCCAAUAGUCAUCAGGUGACUUCGAAAGGAUACAGGUCUGUUGUUCUUUUUUCUUCCUAUGGGCCUCAAUUCGUGCUCUGCUUCCUGCCUCAUCAAUAAGAUCAAUAGCUUUAUCCGGAAGAUAUCUAUCAGCAAUAUAUCUUGCUGACAGAUAGACAGCAGCAUUUAUGGCUUCAGGUGUGAAAAUGCAGUUGUGAUGGGCCUCAUAUUUCUGACGAAGACCUAACAGUAUUUUAACAGCAUCCUCCUGGUUUGGUUCAUUUAUUGACACAGGCUGGAAUCUUCGAGCUAAUGCUUUAUCACUUUCAAAAUGUGUCCUGUAUUCAUCUAUCGUAGUGGAUGCCAUGCACUGUAAUUCACCCCUCCCAAGUGAUGGCUUCAGUAAAUUAGCAAUGUCAAGUCCAGAUCCCUUGUUUCCCCGUCCAACUGUGCCAGUCCCAACAAGUGUAUGAACUUCAUCAAUAAAAAGAAUGAUAUUACCUUCUUUCAGUAUCUCUCCUAUUAGUGCAGUAACACGUGCCUCUAAUUCUCCCCUUUCCUUUGCACCAGCAAUUAAUAGUCCCAUAUCCAAAGACAUUACACGUUUUGCUAAGAGAAAAACAGGAACAUUGGCCUGUGCAAUACUAAUUGCUAGUCCUUCGGCAAUGGCUGUUUUUCCAACCCCACUUUGACCAAGAAGAAUAGGAUUGUUUUUGGUUCUGCGGCAAAGUAUCUGAAUAAUUCUUUCAAUUUCAGUCUCUCGGCCAAUAACAGGGUCGAUGAGUCCUUCACUGGCACGAGCAGUAAGAUCCACACAGAAUUGAGUCAGAGCACUUUUCUCUCUCGUUUUCUCAGAGGAUCUUAAUGCAGCAGCUUUCUUAGAAAAGGAUUUUUCACGUGAUCCUUUGGAUUCCACAGAUAAUUCUCUUCCAUCUUUAGCAAGCUCACCCUGAAGUCUGGUGACUGCUACAGCUGCCAAGUGAUCUACAUUUGCCCCCAGUCUCUUCAGGACACGAGUGGCACUCCCAUCAUCAACAGUGAAUAACCCAACGGCCAUAUGCUCGGGUGCGAUGAAAUUAUAGCCCAUUGUCCUCGAAUACUCAACGGCAACCUCAAAUACUCGCUUCGUGCUAAUAGAAAAUGGCACAUCUGUGGAUGAAGUAGUACCUCCCCCUCCACCUCUCUGUGUACUAGAAGCCGAAGCAUUAGCGUCAUCAGCAUCGGCAUCACUGCUCCAAAUGUUUCGAACAACUUCACGGGCUUUAUCAAUCUUAAGGCCAGAGCCAAGAAACCCAUUUGGGUCGCGAUCCUCCCCGAUUAAACCCAGCAAGAGAUGCUGGGUAAACACCAUGUCCUUGCCCAAGGCUCUGGCUUCUUUCUGAGAAAAUAUCACCACCUUUAUUGCUCGCUCCGUAAAUCUCUCAAAAACUGCAGAAAUAGGAAGAAUUCUACGUUUUCUACGUGAACGAGAGCAUUUAAAAGAAAGGGGAUUAUGUGGGCGGCGCCUGUGUGAGAUGGAAAUGCCAAAACAAGAUGAAUAAGAGGAAGAGAUUAUGUUGUUAUUAGAACUAAAUGUUAACAGAGGAUCGAUUCUCUGUGAACGAGAUGGGUUAAGCGGACCCAAAUCCCAUCUCGAGUGAACUGAUAGAGGUGAUGAAGAUAAAACUUCCAUCUUCUUGUUUUGGGUUUCAGUGAAUAAUUACCAGGUAUGCUUGCUUAUAAAUAAAAAAUAUAAGCUUUCCCUCCAAUUGGGGUUUCUGAAAAAAAUCUGCAAGAAGAAACAAGAAGAGUAUAAGAGAGAGAGAAGGAAAGAAUUGAGUAUAACAGCUGAAAAAGAGAAGGAACUAGGAAGGGUUGCUUAACACGUCAAGCCACCAACCAAUGAGUUUUCGCAUGUUUUCCAUCUUUAAUUUUUUUAUUUUCUUUUUCUUAUUUAUCGGGGUUUGAACAGAAUACUGUACAUAUUCGCCAAAAGGCCAAACCCAAAAGCCUUGACUGCUAUGCGAGGGAUGAAAAGUAAGCGAGACCCCCAGAGGCCUGGUCGCCCACGGAAGCCAAUGUCUCUCCAGGCUGCUCCUGCGUGCAACUAACGUGCCACCCCUCAGCCUCCGAUGUCAACCUCAUGCCUUGUCCAUUAUAUAAUGAAUCUGUCGCGGAUCCCGUGUGUAAUUGGUUCUUUUGUCCUUGACCCAGUUUGGCACCGGUUUCCAACUUUGCUUUCUCUAUAAUGCAUUCUAACUUUGGUAGGACUAGGAACAUUGGAGGAGUUAAUCGAAAAAUGAACAGAAGCUGGUCGGCUAAUCCUAGGCAUUGCAACCAGGGAAUUUACAUAUAAACUGCACAAUUAGCAUCUUGCUUCCGUUGCGUUGACUUGUUACAGAGCAACGUAACUGCAGGUUCCCACUUCAUGUAUGUUAACUAGAACUCAAGAAGGGUAUCAAAUAUCAAACUAUGAAAUCCAUUCAAUGCAAAAUAAAAAAG
rnacentral:misc_RNA from 1 species